rnacentral:rRNA from 1 species
GACGAACGCUGGCGGCGUGCUUAACACAUGCAAGUCGAACGGAAAGGCCCUGCUUGCAGGGUACUCGAGUGGCGAACGGGUGAGUAACACGUGGGUGAUCUGCCCUGCACUUCGGGAUAAGCCUGGGAAACUGGGUCUAAUACCGGAUAGGAGCCAUUUUUAGUGUGAUGGUUGGAAAGUUUUUUCGGUGUAGGAUGAGCUCGCGGCCUAUCAGCUUGUUGGUGGGGUAAUGGCCUACCAAGGCGGCGACGGGUAGCCGGCCUGAGAGGGUGGACGGCCACAUUGGGUCUGAGAUACGGCACAGACUCCUACGGGUGGCAGCAGUGGGGAAUAUUGCACAAUGGGCGCAAGCCUGAUGCAGAGACGCCGCGUGGGGGAUGACGGCCUUCGGGUUGUAAACUCCUUUCGCUAGGGACGAAGCUUUUUGUGACGGUACCUAGAUAAGAAGCACCGGCUAACUACGUG